CUAACAUUAUUCGAAGUGCGAUAUAAAGAUCGCUCGCAAAUGUUUGUCAAAAGUCGGAAAUACAUGUGUGAGAGAGAGAGAGAGAGAGGUUAUAUUAUAAUAAUAAACUACACCCCGAGAACUGUGAUCACACCAGCAAUGAGGUUAUAGUAAACAAGUAAACAUGAAACGCAGACGAGACUUACUAUAUAUUAUAUAAGAACGACCGUGCAAAAGAUAUAUUCUUUUUAGAGUUUUAUAUUGCAUUUGUUACACUCAAAAUGAAAUAUACAAAUAAUAUCGAAAGAAAAGGGGCGUAAAUUAUAAGAAAGUGUAAAGAUUAGAGGAACACAUUAUUUACAGCGCGAGCUGUCAUCGUAAAGAUCGGUAAAUGUUUAGAACAACCCGCUCUACUUAGAUUUUGAUAAAAAUACAUUUUCGAGGGAAGGUACAGUAACAGAAUUGUACAAAUAUAAGAAUUGUAAUAUAAAAUCCGCUUGUCUUCCUUCUGAAAUUUGGAUAAAUCUAUGUCAUUCUAAACGCAGAAAAAGUAAAACUAUGAAACAAUUUGUUUCAUCGACUGAUUCUCUUCAUUUUUCUUGUAAGAAAUCGGGAAUAGGAAAUUAAUUUUGCACUCCCAACUCUCAAUUUCAAAUAAUGCGCCACGCGAGACCACGAGAGCGGUCACAAUUACUGCGCAUGCGCGCGACAAUUCUUCGGAUUGGCAUCACUGAUUAGUAUGUCCCGAAGUCCCGAGUCCCGAUCGCUCGUCCGUUAGCCAUGUUUUACGAUCAGAUACGUAACGAGCUUAUCGUACGAAAAUGAGUGCCGCGGGCGAGAGAGUCGAUCUGUCGUGGUUGUCGUGCGAUCGGCCUCGACGACGGUGAAGAGGCCCCGUUGCUACGGCAAGACGCGGAGUGGCAUGUGUUCGCUUCCUCGGCAGGACAUCGCGCGCGUGUGCUACGGCCGGUGAUCGUGCUCGGAGGCGGUGUGCGGUGAUAUCUCUCUUUCUCUCUCCCUCUAUCUCGGAAAGGCUCUCUUGCAAGAGAGCCGAGAGCCUCACGCUCAGCGACGCGCGUCGGAGUCUGUGCGUGACAGACCCGCUCUGACCCAAUGGAGGAGCCGCGUCCUCUCACCGUCUUGUUGGCUUUGUUGUUGACAGCGCUCGCACGAGAUGCAAUUGAGACGAAACGAACUCAUUGAUCGAGACGGAAAAUACAAUUGCCGAGUCCCGUCCAAUUUAAUCGGGAUAGCGAAAUGAGACGAGAGUUGAUGACAUUUCCAUUCAACGAGAUUCGACACUGAAUAAAUAUCAAGUAGAGUGUAUACGUGUGUGUAUUAAAACUUAAUUUUUUUUUACGCCGAGUUUUUUUCGAAUCGAUUUCGAGUCGCUUUUUAUAACGUUUUAAAUAUCCGCAAGAAUGCAUAUUCUGUUCAUUUAGAUUGCCUAUAAAAUAAUUCAAAUUUAUCCUGUAAAGAUUAUUCUUCUUUAUCUUCAUCUGAGACCUGCGAUCAUUCUUACUCGUCGUUUUUUUUUAAUCCCGUCUUGCUUGCAAAAAUUACAUAAUAUUUCGCACUCGCAAAGUCAGACGUUCGUAUAAUUACAUGUCGACAUGUGACACCGCUAAUGUAAGCAGUGCCGGUAAUGUAAUCAUCUCUAGAAAUCGAGUAUUGUACAUCAUUGCCAGAUCAUAUCUCGAGGAGCAUUUCCGAGAAUUAAAUUUCGAGUAUUGUUAGAAAAGCGAUCUACACUCGCUUUUAUCUAUUUGUGCGUGUGUGGGUAUCAUCUGCGCAAAUUUGCAUAAUCCGGUCGUUUGUGUGUACGAAGGAAGUCGAGUUGAGAGACCCUGCGCAUCGGGUGACUAUUAUUGAUGCAGGGAGAAAAAGAGGAGAAAGAGGGGGAAGGAGGGCGGCCGGCGAGAGAGAAGAUUACGCCGACGAGAGCACGGGGGUGACUUCUUUUGGAAUGUAUUUUCCAUUGCGAUUCGAAUUGCGGGGGAAUCAACC